CGUGAAAUUGUUGAAAGGGAAGCGCUUGUGACCAGACUUGGGCUUGGUUGAUCAUCCAGGGUUCUCCCUGGUGCACUCUUCCAGCCCAGGCCAGCAUCAGUUCGCUGUGGGGGAUAAAGGCUUUGGGAAUGUGGCUCCUCCGGGAGUGUUAUAGCCCAUUGUGUAAUACCCUGUGGUGGACUGAGGUUCGCGCAUCUGCAAGGAUGCUGGCGUAAUGGUCAUCAGCGACCCGUCUUGAAACACG
rnacentral:rRNA from 1 species